rnacentral:lncRNA from 1 species
UCCUUUUUUUGCUGAAGGAGCCCUUACUGAAAGCUAUGAUGGAACCAUUGAAGCCGGAACAAGAAAUUAGUUGUGCAAGAAUCCAUAGCUCCAUUUUCGUGCAACUUCCCCUUGAUUUUCUUUUCUUUUAUAUUUUAUCAAAAAGUGUUUUUUUAUCAAGAUUGGGACUUGAAUCGUAUGUAUCUUUUCUUCCGUCUCCUCCCUCUUUGGAUUCUUAUGAAUUCGGAUCAAUUGGACCUAUCUUCGUACUCCCAUUAUCUUCUUCCUUCUUACCCUCAUUGAAAAAUUUCAUUUCAAAUGGAAUUUCCUUUCCUUUAAUUCACUUAAUACUUAUUUACUUUACUUAAUACUUAAUUUAUAUGUAUUAAUUUAUAUGUAUUUCUUAAUAUGAAAUUGAAUAUUUCAAAUCUCAUUUACACCUAUAUCCUAAUACUAUUAGUAUACUACUCUCUAAUUAGAAUUAGAUUUCUUACUUU